rnacentral:rRNA from 1 species
CCUACGGGAGGCAGCAGUGAGGAAUAUUGGUCAAUGGCCGGAAGGCUGAACCAGCCAAGCCGCGUGAAGGACGAAGGUGCCAAGCAUUGUAAACUUCUUUUGUCAAGGGACAAAAUCAGGCUCGAGAGCCUGACCGAGGGUACUUGAAGAAAAAGCAUCGGCUAACUCCGUGCCAGCAGCCGCGGUAAUACGGAGGAUGCGAGCGUUAUCCGGAUUUAUUGGGUUUAAAGGGUGCGUAGGCGGGCUGUUAAGUCAGCGGUAAAAGCCCGGGGCUCAACCCCGGCGAGCCGUUGAAACGGGCUGUCUUGAGAUGUCGAGAGGUAUGCGGAAUGCGCAGUGUAGCGGUGAAAGGCUUAGAUAUUGCGCAGAACUCCGAGUGCGAAGGCAGCAUACCGGCGGCGAUCUGACGCUGAGGCACGAAAGCGUGGGUAUCGAACAGGAUUAGAUACCCCUGUAGUC